AUUGAACGCUGGCGGCAGGCCUAACACAUGCAAGUCGAGCGAGCGGCGGAAGGGUGAGGAAUGUAUGGGGGCUGGCCGAUAGGGGGGGAUAAGGAAUGGAAACGGUAGCUAAUACCGCGUACUAACGGAUAACGAAUAUGGGCUUAGCUAGUAGGUGAGGUAAUGGCUAACCUAGGCGUCGAUCCCUAGCUGGUCUGAGAGGAUGAUCAGCCACACUGGGACUGAGACACGGCCCAGACUCCUACGGAGGCAGCAGUGGGGAAUAUUGCACAAUGGGCUCAAUCCUGAUGCAGCCAUCCCGCGUGUAUGAAGAAGUCCCUAGGGUUGUAAAGUACUUUCAGUCGGGAGGCGUUACCGACAGAAGAAGCACCGGCUAACUCCGUGCCAGCAGCCGCGGUAAUAC
rnacentral:rRNA from 1 species